rnacentral:rRNA from 1 species
GACGAACGCUGGCGGCGUGCCUAAUACAUGCAAGUCGAACGCAGUGGGGACGGGUGAGUAACACGUGGGUAACCUCCCAUCAGAGGGGAUAACACUUGGAAACAGGUGCUAAACCGAUACUGAUGGAUGGACCCGCGGGGCAUUAGCUAGUUGGUGAGGUAACGGCCCACCAAGGCCACGAUGCAUAGCGGGCCUGAGAGGGUGAUCGGCCACACGGGGACUGAGACACGGCCCAGACUCCUACGGGAGGCAGCAGUGGGGAAUAUUCGGCAAUGGACGAAAGUCUGACCGAGCAACGCCGCGUGAGUGAAGAAGGUUUUCGGAUUGUAAAACACUGUUGUUGGAGAGGCGGUAUCUAACCAGAAAGCCACGGCUAACUACGUGCCAGCAGCCGCGGUAAUUC